AGCUCGCAGAGCAUCCCGCUUUUAGCGGGAAGGUCAUUGGUUCGAAUCCAAU
rnacentral:tRNA from 1 species